rnacentral:rRNA from 1 species
GUGCCAGCCGCCGCUGGUAAUUCCAGCUCCAAUAGCGUAUAUUAAAGUUGUUGCAGUUAAAAAGCUCGUAGUUGAAACUUGGGUCUGGCUGGCGGGUCCGCCUCACCGCGUGCACUCGUCCGGCCGGGCCUUCCUUCUGAAGAACCUCAUGCCCUUUACUGGGCGUGUUGGGGAAUCAGGACUUUUACUUUGAAAAAAUUAGAGUGUUCAAAGCAGGCCUUUGCUCGAAUACGUUAGCAUGGAAUAAUAAAAUAGGGCGUGCGUUUCUAUUUUGUUGGUUUCUAGAGACGCCGCAAUGAUUAACAGGAACAGUCGGGGGCAUCAGUAUUCAGUUGUCAGAGGUGAAAUUCUUGGAUCUACUGAAGACUAACUACUGCGAAAGCAUUUGCCAAGGAUGUUUUCAUUAAUCAGUGAACGAAAGUUAGGGGAUCGAAGACGAUCAGAUACCGUCGUAGUCUUAACCGUAAACUAUGCCGACUAGGGAUCGGGCGAUGUUCUUUUUCUGACUCGCUCGGCACCUUACGAGAAAUCAAAGUUUUUGGGUUCUGGGGGGAUUAUGGUCGCAAGGCUGAAACUUAAAGAAAUUGACGGAAGGUCACCACCAGGCGUGGAGCCUGCGGCUUAAUUUGACUCAACACGGGGAAACUCACCAGGUUCAGAUGAAAUAAGGAUUGACUGAUUGAGAGCUCUUUCUUGAUUUUCAGGUGGUGUGCAUGGCCGUUCUUAGUUCGUGGUGACUUGUCUGCUUAAUUGCGAUAACGAGCGAGACCUUACUCUGCUAAAUAGCCAGGCUAGCUUUGGCU